UAGUCGUUAUGGUGUUGGCUCGGCUCACUCAGAGAUUAAAAUCUUUAUAUACUCUACUGCCACGAAAAAAAAAGGCUAAUGGUUAUAUUGUUUUUUUCUGAUUGAGCCGCGCCAAUAUCUUAAUGCCUUCU
rfam:Erythranthe guttata cultivar DTN x IM62 scaffold_2_contig_235, whole genome shotgun sequence.